CGUGAGGGAUGAAGGCCUUCGGGUUGUAAACCUCUUUCAGCAGGGAAGAAGCGAAAGUGACGGUACCUGCAGAAGAAGCACCGGCUAACUACGUGC
rnacentral:rRNA from 1 species